AUCUAAAUAGUUUAAUAAAAAUAUUGAUUUGUGGUAUCAAAGUUAUAUUCUUUUAUUUUAGAUU
rnacentral:tRNA from 2 species